UUUGUCACAUUUUGAGGCAUAAAUUUUACUUGAUAAAAAAAAAAUAUAUACAAGAGCAUAACGUAAAACAAUAAUUGUAUAUCGAAGGAGCUUGUUUUCACUUUCAGCUGAACACGAUGUUAUCAACACAGUUGUGCAAGGACCUCGCUCGGCGCGGGCCGCGGCGCGCAUGCGCGACGCGCCGUCUCCCCGACUUACCGACCCAGCACUCACUCGCUUGUCCGCCCAACGCCGAACGUAUCUUGAACAAAAGGAAACAUUAACAAAACACAAAAUUAUCACUAAUUUUUAACUUAUUUGUUCAUUGUGUAUAAGUGAUGUGUUAAAUAAUAAAUAGUGCACGGUCGUGACGUCAUCGAAGAUGCAGCCGACCCUGCCGCCGGGGUGGUCGGAGCUGGAGCGCUUCCGGCGGCGGCGCGGCCGCGUGACGCUCGCCGAGCUCAGCGAGAUCACGGCGCGCGCGCACCAGAUGCACAUGCAGGAGUUACGUCGUCUCCGUGAGCUGCACGCGCGGCUGGACUGGCCGCGAGCACACCCCCCGGAGAUCCUGCUCUACACGCCGAACCAGCUGCGACAGCUUAUCAGACUAGGUAACGCAGCGGAGGCGGCAGCGGCAGCUCAACCCACUGGCAGUUCAUGGCGGCCCGGUCCGCUGGGCGCGCCCUGGCACCUUCCCGAUGGAGAC
rnacentral:misc_RNA from 1 species